ACUAAGCGUACACGGUGGAUGCCCUGGCAGUCAGAGGCGAUGAAGGACGUGCUAAUCUGCGAUAAGCGUCGGUAAGGUGAUAUGAACCGUUAUAACCGGCGAUUUCCGAAUGGGGAAACCCAGUGUGUUUCGACACACUAUCAUUAACUGAAUCCAUAGGUUAAUGAGGCGAACCGGGGGAACUGAAACAUCUAAGUACCCCGAGGAAAAGAAAUCAACCGAGAUUCCCCCAGUAGCGGCGAGCGAACGGGGAGCAGCCCAGAGCCUGAAUCAGUGUGUGUGUUAGUGGAAGCGUCUGGAAAGGCGCGCGAUACAGGGUGACAGCCCCGUACACAAAAAUGCACAUACUGUGAGCUCGAUGAGUAGGGCGGGACACGUGGUAUCCUGUCUGAAUAUGGGGGGACCAUCCUCCAAGGCUAAAUACUCCUGACUGACCGAUAGUGAACCAGUACCGUGAGGGAAAGGCGAAAAGAACCCCGGCGAGGGGAGUGAAAAAGAACCUGAAACCGUGUACGUACAAGCAGUGGGAGCACGCUUAGGCGUGUGACUGCGUACCUUUUGUAUAAUGGGUCAGCGACUUAUAUUCUGUAGCAAGGUUAACCGAAUAGGGGAGCCGAAGGGAAACCGAGUCUUAACUGGGCGUUAAGUUGCAGGGUAUAGACCCGAAACCCGGUGAUCUAGCCAUGGGCAGGUUGAAGGUUGGGUAACACUAACUGGAGGACCGAACCGACUAAUGUUGAAAAAUUAGCGGAUGACUUGUGGCUGGGGGUGAAAGGCCAAUCAAACCGGGAGAUAGCUGGUUCUCCCCGAAAGCUAUUUAGGUAGCGCCUCGUGAAUUCAUCUCCGGGGGUAGAGCACUGUUUCGGCAAGGGGGUCAUCCCGACUUACCAACCCGAUGCAAACUGCGAAUACCGGAGAAUGUUAUCACGGGAGACACACGGCGGGUGCUAACGUCCGUCGUGAAGAGGGAAACAACCCAGACCGCCAGCUAAGGUCCCAAAGUCAUGGUUAAGUGGGAAACGAUGUGGGAAGGCCCAGACAGCCAGGAUGUUGGCUUAGAAGCAGCCAUCAUUUAAAGAAAGCGUAAUAGCUCACUGGUCGAGUCGGCCUGCGCGGAAGAUGUAACGGGGCUAAACCAUGCACCGAAGCUGCGGCAGCGACGCUUAUGCGUUGUUGGGUAGGGGAGCGUUCUGUAAGCCUGCGAAGGUGUGCUGUGAGGCAUGCUGGAGGUAUCAGAAGUGCGAAUGCUGACAUAAGUAACGAUAAAGCGGGUGAAAAGCCCGCUCGCCGGAAGACCAAGGGUUCCUGUCCAACGUUAAUCGGGGCAGGGUGAGUCGACCCCUAAGGCGAGGCCGAAAGGCGUAGUCGAUGGGAAACAGGUUAAUAUUCCUGUACUUGGUGUUACUGCGAAGGGGGGACGGAGAAGGCUAUGUUGGCCGGGCGACGGUUGUCCCGGUUUAAGCGUGUAGGCUGGUUUUCCAGGCAAAUCCGGAAAAUCAAGGCUGAGGCGUGAUGACGAGGCACUACGGUGCUGAAGCAACAAAUGCCCUGCUUCCAGGAAAAGCCUCUAAGCAUCAGGUAACAUCAAAUCGUACCCCAAACCGACACAGGUGGUCAGGUAGAGAAUACCAAGGCGCUUGAGAGAACUCGGGUGAAGGAACUAGGCAAAAUGGUGCCGUAACUUCGGGAGAAGGCACGCUGAUAUGUAGGUGAAGUCCCUUGCGGAUGGAGCUGAAAUCAGUCGAAGAUACCAGCUGGCUGCAACUGUUUAUUAAAAACACAGCACUGUGCAAACACGAAAGUGGACGUAUACGGUGUGACGCCUGCCCGGUGCCGGAAGGUUAAUUGAUGGGGUUAGCCGCAAGGCGAAGCUCUUGAUCGAAGCCCCGGUAAACGGCGGCCGUAACUAUAACGGUCCUAAGGUAGCGAAAUUCCUUGUCGGGUAAGUUCCGACCUGCACGAAUGGCGUAAUGAUGGCCAGGCUGUCUCCACCCGAGACUCAGUGAAAUUGAACUCGCUGUGAAGAUGCAGUGUACCCGCGGCAAGACGGAAAGACCCCGUGAACCUUUACUAUAGCUUGACACUGAACAUUGAGCCUUGAUGUGUAGGAUAGGUGGGAGGCUUUGAAGUGUGGACGCCAGUCUGCAUGGAGCCGACCUUGAAAUACCACCCUUUAAUGUUUGAUGUUCUAACGUUGACCCGUAAUCCGGGUUGCGGACAGUGUCUGGUGGGUAGUUUGACUGGGGCGGUCUCCUCCUAAAGAGUAACGGAGGAGCACGAAGGUUGGCUAAUCCUGGUCGGACAUCAGGAGGUUAGUGCAAUGGCAUAAGCCAGCUUGACUGCGAGCGUGACGGCGCGAGCAGGUGCGAAAGCAGGUCAUAGUGAUCCGGUGGUUCUGAAUGGAAGGGCCAUCGCUCAACGGAUAAAAGGUACUCCGGGGAUAACAGGCUGAUACCGCCCAAGAGUUCAUAUCGACGGCGGUGUUUGGCACCUCGAUGUCGGCUCAUCACAUCCUGGGGCUGAAGUAGGUCCCAAGGGUAUGGCUGUUCGCCAUUUAAAGUGGUACGCGAGCUGGGUUUAGAACGUCGUGAGACAGUUCGGUCCCUAUCUGCCGUGGGCGCUGGAGAACUGAGGGGGGCUGCUCCUAGUACGAGAGGACCGGAGUGGACGCAUCACUGGUGUUCGGGUUGUCAUGCCAAUGGCACUGCCCGGUAGCUAAAUGCGGAAGAGAUAAGUGCUGAAAGCAUCUAAGCACGAAACUUGCCCCGAGAUGAGUUCUCCCUGACUCCUUGAGAGUCCUGAAGGAACGUUGAAGACGACGACGUUGAUAGGCCGGGUGUGUAAGCGCAGCGAUGCGUUGAGCUAACCGGUACUAAUGAACCGUGAGGCUUAACC
rnacentral:rRNA from 1 species